GAACCCUGGACUUCAACAGACUGGAAACUCUACCUUCUGAUAUAUUCCAGCGUUUCAAGUUCUACGAUCUGUGGCUGGGGAACAACAACAUCAAAACGUUAUCUGAAGACUUGUUUGCUGGGCAGGAUAAAUUAGCAUAUUUGCGGUUGAGCGGCAAUCAGCUAGAAAAGCUACCACGCAACAUAUUUCAUGAGCUGUCUGCCUUGGAAAAACUG